GGGAGGAAGGGGGAGGGGUGUGGAACAACCGAGGGAGCUAGCAGGCUCAGCUAGGCUAGCUAAACAGGGCCUACCAGCACCACGGGUCACACAACAAACUAUCUAGCACAGCACCAAGGAGGGGAAUUUUUUAAAUAUUUUUUUCCACAAAAGGGAGAGACAAAAAAGAAACCACACAAACUAAACAAAGGCUAGGAAGCUAGCAGGCCACACCAGCAGGCCAGGCUAAGCUUACCAGCUAGCAGGCCCACAAGCCAAGAGGCCUCACAACAAAAACAAACAAAGCACACAAACCAAAAAGGGGGGACAAACUAGGGGGUAAGACGAACAAACAAAAUAAUUGAGGUAAGAGGGAAAUAAGGGGAUAACAAAAAGGGACACACUGACCAACAACACCGGCCAAACUUGGGGGCCGAGAAAGCUAGCAAGCCUCACCAGCAGACCAGGCUAGGCUAACCAGCUAGCAGGCCGGCCAGCAAAAGUCCCCAGUUGACAACGCAAAACAACAAGGAACUGAGACAAAAGGCAAAGAAAAAGACCAGAGGGCCUUUAAACUCACCCUAGUCCACCACCAGAACCACCACCUAACCCAGGACAAAGAAAAAACAAUGGUGAAACAAUACAACAACAAUAAUAAUAACAAUAAUAAUGAUUUUCAACAAAAAUAAAAAGCACAAUUUUCCCGGGCGCCCUCCGACCUGCGAUCACUUCUCCGAUCAAGUGCAGCACUGUCAAAGUAACUACACUUGAUCUGAGCCAAAAGGCAGAGAAGCGACAGCAGUCCUCUACUGUGGUAUUUAAUUUACCGGCUGCACCAGUUCCCACUACACUGGCCGUGGAUGGAGAAACUUUUGAGGAUUCCCAGAUGGAUACAGAUCUGCCAUGCACUCCACCACUGCCCGACAGCCUCACCCAGAAGUGCAUACACUGGGCCUGGCAAGACUGACAAAGCAGAGAUGGGUGGUUGACAAGGAAAAAUAAAACACAACAUGCACACACACUCUCCGUCUCUGUCACACACACAUUAUCCCCAAUGUAAAUAAAUUGUAAUUACUUGUUUAUUUUAUGUAUGUUUCAUUUUAUUUUAGGAUUGGAGAUAUCUACGUCUACAUAUCCAUUAUCAAUAUCUACAUAAUUACUCUAAAUAUCUAUCCAAUAAAAGUGUGACUGUUAAUAUUGUAUAAGACUAUUGUGUAAUUUUUCUGAGUUGAAAAACAGGCCUCACUCUAAGAGAAAACACACAUUAGACCCAAUGUAAAUACAUUGUUUAUUUUAUGUAUGCUCCAUUUUAUUUGAGGAUUGUGUGCAAUAAAGUACAUUCACAGU